rnacentral:rRNA from 1 species
CAGGGAAUAUUGCACAAUGGGCGAAAGCCUGAUGCAGCAACGCCGCGUGCGGGAUGAAGGCCUUCGGGUUGUAAACCGCUUUCAGUAGGGAAGAAAAUGACGGUACCUACAGAAGAAGCCCCGGCCAACUACGUGCCAGCAGCCGCGGUAACACGUGGGGGGCGAGCGUUGUCCGGAUUUAUUGGGCGUAAAGGGCUCGUAGGCGGCUUGACAAGUCGGUCGUGAAAGCCCGGGGCUUAACCCCGGGAGGCCGGUCGAAACUGUCAUGGCUAGUUUCCGGUAGAGGUGAGUGGAAUUCUCGGUGUAGCGGUGAAAUGCGCAGAUAUCGAGAGGAACACCAGUAGCGAAGGCGGCUCACUGGGCCGGUAAAGACGCUGAGGAGCGAAAGCGUGGGGAGCAAACAGGAUUAGAUACCCCCGUAGUCC